rnacentral:rRNA from 1 species
UACCAGCCCCCUGAGUGAUAGGGAUGAUUAUUUGGCCUAAAGCGUCCGUAGCCGGCCCGGUAAAUCUCUCGUUAAAUCCAGCGUCCCAAGCGUUGGGCUGCGAGGGAGACUGCCGGGCUAGAGGGUGGGAGAGGUCAGCGGUAUUCCUGGGGUAGGGGCGAAAUCCAUUGAUCCCAGGAGGACCACCAGUGGCGAAGGCUGCUGACUAGAACACGCCUGACGGUGAGGGACGAAAGCUGGGGUAGCGAAUCGGAUUAGAUACCCGAGUAGUCCCAGCCGUAAACGAUGCAGGCUAGGUGUUGGGGCGGCCACGCGCCGCCUCAGUGCCACAGGGAAGCCAUUAAGCCUGCCGCCUGGGGAGUACGGCCGCAAGGCUAGAAACUUAAGGAAUUGGCGUGGGAGCACCACCAGGCGUGAAGCCUGCGGUUC